rnacentral:rRNA from 1 species
UACGUAGGGGGCAAGCGUUUGUCCGGAUUUAUUGGGCGUAAAGAGCGUGUAGGCGGCCAUGUAGGUCCGUUGUGAAAACUCGAGGCUCAACCUCGAGACGCCGAUGGAAACCAUGUGGCUAGAGUCCGGAAGAGGAGAGUGGAAUUCCUGGUGUAGCGGUGAAAUGCGCAGAUAUCAGGAAGAACACCCGUGGCUAAGGCGGCUCUCUAGUACGGUACUGACGCUGAGACGCGAAAAGCGUGGGGAGCAAACAGG